rnacentral:rRNA from 1 species
CAGCCGCCGCGGUAAUACAGAGGCCUCCAGCGUUGUUCGGAUUCAUUGGGCGUAAAGGGAGCGUAGGCGGUCGGGUAAGUCGGGCGUGAAAUCCUGGGGCUCAACCUCAGAACUGCGUCCGAUACUGCUUGGCUAGAGGUAUGGAGGGGAGAUUGGAAUUCACGGUGUAGCAGUGAAAUGCGUAGAUAUCGUGAGGAAGACCAGUGGCGAAGGCGGAUCUCUGGACAUUACCUGACGCUGAUGCUCGAAGGCCAGGGGAGCAAACGGGAUUAGAUACCCGAGUAGUCCCUGUCUCUUAUAC